GAUUUCUCCUGUUGAUCCAACUCUUGAAACAGCAAUUGCAUUAUUCACGUGUGGUUCAUGGUUUGGUGUUCAGGCUCAAGGGAAUGCAUAACCAGAAAGUAGAUGGGGAAUUAAACUCAUUUGGGUUCUUAUUUAUGUGCUGGUGUAAUUGUUUCCUGUUCUUGGCUGUAAUUUGAGGGUUUUGAUGGUAUUGUACAGUGCAUGUUUUUACACUUAGGCUGAAAAAAUUUGAACUCGAAAUGAACCCAAAUCUCUUACCAGAAAACCUCAUGCUGAAAGGAAGUGCAAGUCUGGAUCUGAACUCAUCUUUUGUUAGAGCAUUCUUGCAAACAGGAAUGUGUGUGUUGUGGUGACGCUUCAACCGUACCCAUUCACACCAAGCGCUGUCGUGGGUUCAUAUCACUGCAAAAACACAGAUGGCAGAUCCAGCAUCUUUUUAUUAAAGACGGUUCCUAGUGCACUAUUUGCUGGGCAGAAUCUGCUUGAAGAAGUCUCCCUCGGGGCUAUGUGUGGCUCUCAGCACAGCCCAGCAGUACAGCAAUUGUCAGAUGCAGAUAUGUUCCAUGUGAAGCAGUUGGUUUUUUUUUUUUUUUUUUUUUUUUUUUUUUUUUGCAAUGCCAUUUCUGAUUGCUGCUGUUGUUGCCCAGGCUUAGGAAAGAGACUGCUUCAGCAGAACGUGAAGAUAACAGAACACUUUAUGCCAAGCAGGAACAUAGGGCCCUGAGGAGACCACAAUGAUGUGAGUCACAUCGCCCUCCCCGUUCCUGUGCAUGCAGGCAAACGCUGUCACAAACACAGGAUCGGAGAUGUAGCCUAGCAGGAUCACAGAAUGGCUUGGGUUGGAAGGGACCCCAAGGAUCAUCAAGUUCCAAGAAUGCUGUCUUAAAGUUAUCCAGGCUGAAGGUUAAGACUGAAUGUAGUGGCUUUGUACCAAAACCAGCUCAGUUUCCCUACCUGGAAAUGGGAUGACAACUAAAUCAAGAAUUGCAGUCUUAUAUCUGCAGAUUUAGUUCUACCAGCACUGCCACCUAUGCU
ensembl:lncRNA